CCAUGGCAGUGUCUAUAUAUCCUCUUGCUAUAUUUUCUCCAACCGUGUGCAAUUUCAGAUUGCUAAUGAGACAUUUGGGCUGUGGCAAACCAGAUGAUUGCUAGGGAUGGGAUUGAAAUCUUUUUGUAAAAUGUUUUUCAGGAUUCAUUUUCUCCAUAACAAGAGAGGUGUUUAAACGACAUUUGAAUCUGUAGCAAAUGCAAUCCUUUUUUCAUCUUCCUUUAGAGUACUCUAUCUUUUAACAUCUUUCUCCUGGUCAAUGUGCAUCCUGUUUGUAUGCACACACUUUAGUAUGAAAUCACUGCUGUCAGUCGGUUAUAAUUAAGUACAAAAAAAUGAAAAAGUAGAAUUACUGUGGGAAACUGUGUGAAGUCACAGUUUACAUUUAGAAGAACCACAGAUUCAACCUUAGGAAAGUCACUGAUGUGGAAUGCACUCCCAACUCUUUAAAUGUUCUGUUGUUGGCAUACUGCAAAGGGAGACAUUUUUUACUCUCCUUAGGGAAGGGAAAUUUUUUCAGUAGUGCGUAAAUGCCUAUCAGACUUAAUAUGAUUUUCUUGGCUUGACAUUUACACUGGUAAUCAAGUACCACAAGGCAUUUUAUGAGGACCAACUGGUUCACAACCUAAAGCACCUUCAACCCAUACCCACUGGGUUGAUAACAGGAACCAUGGAUCAUAUAGGGCUUGGUAUGUUCUGGAAAACCAAGUGAAAGAUGAAGUCCUCCAUUUAAUGAUGAGGAAAUUCAAGUCUUAGAGAGCUCAAGAUUCAUAAUCCUCAAACAAAUUCUAAUUUUCAAAAGAGGAAAGCCUUUGGGGCCUCCUCCCUGGGGACUGUUUGAUGUUGGAAUGAAGAGGACAUUGUGUCCUCAGACAUAGGGACUAAGGUCUUCUCUACUUGGCUGUUAAAAGGUGACAGCUGGAGUUGGGACUCCCUGAGAUACAGCCAGAUACCUCAAAGUCAAAAGAGCAGCAGACAAAGAAAAUCCAGUGAUGAAUUAAUAUCAACACGUGGUAGGAAAAAAAAAAAUGCAGUAACGAGGAGGCCAAUGAUCUUCAGAACAAGUUUUUCCCCAACUUGAAAUGUUGAAAUAAGACUGGAUGUCACUCUCCUAUAGACUUUGGUGCAUGGCAGACAUUGGAUAUGUCUAAAUUCAUUUAUCUCAUUGGUGAAAGACAGAAUGUGAAGUUAGGAAAAUGAAUGGUUCUAUUUCUAUUUAAGGAAGAUUCCUUGAUAUGUUUCAGCCUGACCCCAUUAAGCAGUCUCAAAUUGACAAAAUAUCUCUAGACCAAAAAUGGAAGGUUAAUUUAAUUAAAGUGUCACAACUGGACUCUUCCUGACUAAAUUCAGGGCUAGUGUUAAUUUUCUUGAAAUUACCUUGUCUUGAAUUCUUCAUAUUAUCUUUGGGUGCCUAUAAUACUCUGCCCAAAAUAAAUGCUUAAAGUUUAUGGGAUUGUAUGAUUUAAAAAAUGUGAUAGACUGACAUUCGAUUUAAACAUGACUCCAUUGCCUUGGUUAUAUAUAUAUGUUUUUUAAAAAGUUUUAACUGAACAUAAAAUAAGUCAAUGAUCUUGGAGGACAGAUUUGUUAAACUGUGGCCCUUUUGGGUUUAACUUCUUUCUGAUUCUUUUUCCUCAGGUAAUUUGCCAGUUGAUAUUUAUUUAGCUCCAGUACCCAGAUCUGAAUUCUAAUUCAUGAGUACUGUCCAAACACUUUCUGCAUUGCUCAAUCCCUAUUGAUUUGCGAGGACUAAGCAGGAAGAUGAAGCAACUUUAAGAUCCUGUCAUCAAAGUAAUUUCUGACUUUUGAUUAAGGGUUAGAAAUAGCUCCUCAAAUCUUUUUCCUAGGUGGGUUGCAGUCACUUUAAAAAAGCCAUUUAGUAAUAGUAAUAUGGAGACAAUUAGAAUAGUAAUAUGGAGACAAUUAGUAAUAUGGAACAAAAUUUCUGGAUCAACCAAUGAGGCUCCUGUUAUUUUUUCCCCCCGUUUUUCUUUUAUAUUACAACCUCUGGAAUGGCUGUUUCUCCUGGGAGAAUUAGAAAAUGAAAGGCAGAUUCUGGAGCCAUGUCAGUCUCCUACUGAAGGAGUGUGGGGAAAUAUUCCACUGGGAACCAUGACAGAUAAAAUCUUCCAUGGAGGAGCAAAACUUUUAGAGCCUGUCAGAAGACUUGCCCACCUCUAUAACCUAGCAGCCUGUGCUGAACCUUCCUCAUUAUUUUCAAAUGUUGUUAAAUAUCUCGUGUAUUGCUCUAAAGAGACCCAAACCAGUUCUGGUUUCUUCACAAAACAAACCCCAUCAGUGCAUUGGCUGGAAAGAAAAAAAAAAAAUACAAGUUUAGACUAGUUAUCACUGGAUCCUCCUCAUCACUUAGCUAUGUUGCUUUCUCAGUGUUUUUAAAAACUGGUUCCAUGGCAACCAGUUUGCAAAGAGGAUUAAUUCUCCAAGCAGGCAACAAGUAUGUGAUGGAGUUGCAUGACUCUGUUUGGAAAUGUUUGAGUCAAACGCAAUAUGCAGCUCAGAGCAGAAAAGAAUCUCUGGAGGUAAUAUUCACAUCAAGUGAAAAAAAUGUAUUUCUGGCAUUGUUCUCAUGCUCAUAGACCAUAGCCAUCAUGCAGGUGAGCAAGGUGAUGAGGAUUAGAAUUGAUCCCAUCUAUUUUGCCUACUUCCUGACCCCAUCUAGCAUUUGAUGGUGACGUGAUUAUGAAACUAAUAGUGAUCUGUCUCUCCUGACUGACUUCUUGUUCACUUGUUGAUACUCUAUGAUGGCAUGGGGGAGAGCAGUGAUUCGGCACUGAUGUUGGUAAAU
rnacentral:lncRNA from 1 species